rnacentral:rRNA from 1 species
UACGAAGGGGGCUAGCGUUGCUCGGAAUCACUGGGCGUAAAGCGCACGUAGGCGGACUCUUAAGUCAGGGGUGAAAUCCUGGAGCUCAACUCCAGAACUGCCUUUGAUACUGAGGAUCUUGAGUUCGGGAGAGGUGAGUGGAACUGCGAGUGUAGAGGUGAAAUUCGUAGAUAUUCGGAAGAACACCAGUGGCGAAGGCGGCUCACUGGCCCGGUACUGACGCUGAGGUGCGAAAGCGUGGGGAGCAAACAGG